rnacentral:rRNA from 1 species
GAUGAACGCUGACAGAAUGCUUAACACAUGCAAGUCGAUUCGAUUUACCUUCGGGUAUUGAGGAUGGCGGACGGGUGAGUAACGCGUAAGGAACUUGCCUCUUGGUCUGGGACAACUGUUGGAAACGACAGCUAAUACCGGAUAUUAUGAGAUUCUCGCAUGGGGAACUUAUGAAAGCUAUAUGCGCCAAGAGAGAGCCUUGCGUUCCAUUAGCUAGUUGGUGGGGUAACGGCCCACCAAGGCGACGACGGAUAGCCGGCCUGAGAGGGUGAACGGCCACAAGGGGACUGAGACACGGCCCUUACUCCUACGGGAGGCAGCAGUGGGGAAUAUUGGACAAUGGGCCACAAGCCUGAUCCAGCAAUUCUGUGUGCACGAUGAAGGUCUUCGGAUUGUAAAGUGCUUUCAGUUGGGAAGAAGAAAGUGACGGUACCAACAGAAGAAGCGACGGCUAAAUACGUGCCAGCCGCCGCAGUAACAC